GGGUCAUUGAGACUUUUUUGUGCCAUGAGAAGAUGUGAUGACUCAAAAAUCAUGCUCAAUUGGAUUAUACCAAGGCCU